rnacentral:rRNA from 1 species
AUUGAACGCUGGCGGCAGGCCUAACACAUGCAAGUCGAACGAGUGGCGGACGGGUGAGUAAUGUCUGUGAAACUGCCCGAUGGUGGGGGAUAACUACUGGAAACGGUAGCUAUUACCGCAUACCAUCGGAUGUGCCGAGAUGGGAGUAGCUGGUAGGUGGGGUAACGGUUCACUUAGGCGACGAUCCCUAGCUGGUCUGAGAGGAUGACCAGCCACACUGGAACUGAGACACGGUCCAGACGCCUACGGGAGGCAGCAGUGGGGAAUAUUGCACAAUGGGCGCAAGCCGGAUGCAGCCAUGCCGCGUGGAUGAAGAAGGCCUUCGGGUUGUAAAGUACUUUCAGCGAGGAGGCGUUACGCGCAGAAGAAGCACCGGCUAACUACGUGCCAGCAGCCGCGGUAAUUC